UCCAUCACAUUUCUCAUUUCAAUACCCUUUUCGUCUAACUGUUUCCAAGUGAAUCAUUACAAUAGUUUCUGAUUCUUCCACCAUUCUGAGCUCAUGAAGCACAUAUUGUCGAAGUGAUGAUAUAACAUAGCAAGACUAUAGAUCCACAAUAUAAAUUCUUUACCAAAUUAAGCAGGUUAGAUCUAAUCUCCCUUGUUUGAAGCCAUCAAUGGACAAAAGCUUUUACAUGGCUGUUAUGAGGAAAAAUCGUUUGCUUCAGAUUUUAUGACGCAGCAUAAACAGAAAGUGGUCCUGCAGAGUACUAAUUGCUCAUGUUUUCUUUCCUGCCAACCUAACAUUCUAAAGAGCAUAGUGACAAAAGCACCGUUAAAGUGCUACUGUCAGCUCCUGUUAGAGUAGUAAUGGAAGGAGUUUGUGGUGGUGGGUGUUGUCAGGCACAGAUUAUUCACAGAAUGACUUUGCUGCUGAUUGAAUGGAAAGGUUGCUGAAGAGGCAGUGAUUGUUGCUGAUGAAGCGAAUCCUGAUGAUGCUGCAAAAUCAUUGCCGUUGUUGUUUCCAUUUUUUAUUAUCCAUGGCCAACUUGAGCUUUUUAGCGAAGAAUCCGCUCCGACUGUCUUCUCUGCAACCAUUUCCUGAUUGCUUGGUGAAAAUCCAGGAUAUAUGCCAGACAACGUUGGCAGGUUCUUUGAUGCUAUUGGCAGAUUGUGAAGGGUCUGUAAACCUGGUGUAGAAGCAGCACUUUCAACCUUUAAAAUCACAAAAGGGCAUCAACUACCAUUAGCUAGAUUUAUAAUCAAUAAAGAACAGAAUGGAUUACUAUACUUGGCAACAUGCCUUUUCAAUAUGCCUAAAGAAUGAAAACUAAAGCAAGAAUAUAUUUUAACAGUGUAAAAAAGCUAUGAAUUGCAGGCAUCUUAUAUAGAAUAAUACUACUGGUCUUUCUUUGUUGGGUAAUUCCCAAUCCUUAAAAUGAAAAUGGCAGCUGCUCACAUUGUUAUUCGCCUUCGAAUCAUUUGCUGAAGAAGAAAUUCCAAGGCUCAAAUCAAGAUUGUGAUCACUCAUCCCUCUACAGCUUGGAUAAAAAAUGAUCUCCCCUUCAUAAACACUAGGCUCAAAAUUGGUUACUGCAUCCCUUCCAUUGCAUGUGAUGGCUCCCAUAUCAUAAGCCUUCCUUCCAUGGAAAUGUCCCAUUCGAGCAUCCCAUCUACCACAUUUGUGAAGAGUUGCACCUCUGUAUCUUGAGCUGCCCCGAGCAAUUCCAGUACUUCGGCGACGAAGAAUAAGAACAAAUUCUUCUUUACUCAGGUUUUUCAUCUGCUUCAUAUCUUCAUCAUAAUCACUUAAAUUAAAGUUGAUAUCUGCAUCAACUCCCCUGAACUUAAUUGCAGCUCGAUCAUAUGCUCUUGCUGCUGCGAAGGCAGUGUCAAAACCACCUAAAUAAACUUGCUUCCCACAAUCCCAUAUAUGAGACUCCCAGCGGCC
rnacentral:misc_RNA from 1 species